GGAGGAAGAGAGCCCAGAGCAGUAAGCACAGCCCGUCAGAGAGCGGGCAGAGACGCACUGCGCUUCCUGAGACCGCGGCUCACCGCUCCCCUGCAUUCUGCUCUUCAAAGACACAUGCAGAACCUUCAGGGUGUUGAAAGGGGCCGCAAAGAUCACAGCUCUCAGCGGGGGCGCGGUCAGUCGGCCACAGCGGUGGAGAUGGCGUUGAAAGCCGGGGAUGAUGACUGCUGUGUAAGCCGAGCUCCCAGGGCUGUGCUUGAUCAGGGCAGGAUGUGUCCAUCCAGUAUGUUGGAGGUCAGAUGAAGAAAUGCAUGGAGUUACUUAAAAUGUUUCCUUUAUUAAUUUUAAGUGUAAGAAUGGAAAUUUUCAUGUAUCUUAUGCCCUCAAAGAUGUAAAGUAUGUGAGUGACAAAUAAAGGGAUGGAAGUCGCUGAUGCAACAUUUAGUGAUGG
rnacentral:lncRNA from 1 species